AACCUGACCUAAAAAAGAGAAGCGAGAUAAGUUUGAGUAAGCACGCUUUAUUCCAUUCUUUCAAAUCCCAUAUGCCUAAUCCUCCAUGUCUCUUUUCAGUUGUAACGUCAGCCCAUGCCACACGAGCAGAGUGAUGCCCUUCUGUUGUCCCCUUCCAGAGGAAAGCUCCUGAAAGAGAGUUCAAUAUGUCUAUGCAUCUCUUGGGAAGAAUCAGGGCCGAACACCAAAAGUUUGUGAUACCCGCUAUAACUGUGUUAAGCAAUUGGAGGCGACCAGCAAAGGAGAGGGUUUUUGUUGACCACCCGUUGAAGUUGAGAGAGACCUGAAGUAUAGAAGCUCGUUUUGGAGAGGCUAAUGGCGAGACCGGAUGCAUCUUCAAAUUCUUUAAGAAUCUGGAGAACAUUCUGAACUGAGAGCGCCGUUCCUUCAACAAAUAUCAGCAAGUCAUCAGCAAAGCAAAGAUAAACAGUUCAUAGCCAGUACAAAGAGGUACGGAGAUA